AUGUAUUUUAUAUUGUUAUCGUUAUCAACUCAUGUUUUUAUAUUACAAUGUACUUUAAGUAGGGUAUUAAAGGAUAUUUUAAAAUUUUAAUUAACAAUUAGAUCAAGUUUUUAAGGUUACUUACUAACAAAACUUUUUAUAUUGGUAUAUAAAUACAAGAUUUAAAGUAGAGAUAUAUUAUUAAAAUAACUAAUCAUAUUAUUAUAAAGUACAAUCGAUGUUUU
rnacentral:lncRNA from 1 species